CACACCGCCCGUCGCUACUACCGAUUGAAUGGCUCAGUGAGGCCUUCGGACUGGCCCAGGGAGGUCGGCAACGACCACCCAGGGCCGGAAAGUUGGUCAAACUUGGUCAUUUAGAGGAAGUAAAAGUCGUAACAAGGUUUCCGUAGGUGAACCUGCGGAAGGAUCAUUAACAGAGAUCGGCGCCGCCCCUCACCGGGCGCGCGCACCUUCCAACCCCUUGAAUCGUCACACCCGACCCGGUCGCUCCCCCCGCUCGCGGGGGGCGCUCCAGUCCAACUCGCGUCUCGAAACGUUGCCGUCUGAGUCGACACGACAAAUCAAUCAAAACUUUCAACAACGGAUCUCUUGGUUCUGGCAUCGAUGAAGAACGCAGCGAAAUGCGAUAAGUAAUGUGAAUUGCAGAAUUCAGUGAAUCAUCGAAUCUUUGAACGCACAUUGCGCCCCCUGGCAGUCCGGGGGGCACAUCUGUUCGAGCGUCAUUACAACCCUCAAGCUCUGCUUGGUCUUGGGCGUCCCGUCCCCGCCUCGCGCGGCGGACGCGCCUCAAACUCCUCGGCGGUCCGCACCGGCUUCGAGCGUAGCAAUCGCACCUCGCUCACGGAGUCCGGCUCGGGUCCUGCCGCAUGACGACACACCGUUUCAUUUCGAAAGGUUGACCUCGGAUCAGAUGGGGAUACCCGCUGAACUUAAGCAUAUCAAUAAGCGGAGGAAAAGAAACCAACAGGGAUUGCCUCAGUAACGGCGAGUGAAGCGGCAACAGCUCAAAUUUGAAAUCUGGCGCCUUCGGCGUCCGAGUUGUAAUUUGCAGAGGAUGCUUCGGCGUCGGCACCGGUCUAAGUUCCUUGGAACAGGACGUCACAGAGGGUGAGAAUCCCGUACGUGGCCGGCCGCCGUCGCCGUGUGAAGCUCCUUCGACGAGUCGAGUUGUUUGGGAAUGCAGCUCUAAAUGGGAGGUAAAUUUCUUCUAAAGCUAAAUACCGGCCAGAGACCGAUAGCGCACAAGUAGAGUGAUCGAAAGAUGAAAAGCACUUUGGAAAGAGAGUUAAACAGCACGUGAAAUUGUUGAAAGGGAAGCGGUUGCCACCAGACUUGACCGCGGGCGCUCAACCGGGCUUCUGCCCGGUGCACUCGUCCGCGGGCAGGCCAGCAUCAGUUCGGGCGGUCGGAUAAAGGCCUCGGGAAUGUGGCUCCCCUCGGGGAGUGUUAUAGCCCGGGGCGUAAUACGGCCAGCCUGGACUGAGGUCCGCGCUUCGGCUAGGAUGCUGGCGUAAUGGUUGCAACCGGCCCGUCUUGAAACACGGACCAAGGAGUCUAACAUCUAUGCGAGUGUUUGGGUGUCAAACCCAUACGCGUAAUGAAAGUGAACGGAGGUGGGAGCCGCAAGGCGCACCAUCGACCGAUCCUGAUGUCUUCGGAUGGAUUUGAGUAUGAGCAUGGCUGUUGGGACCCGAAAGAUAGUGAUCUAUACCUGAAUAGGGUGAAGCCAGAGGAAACUCUGGUGGAGGCUCGCAGCGGUUCUGACGUGCAAAUCGAUCGUCAAAUUUGGGUAUAGGGGCGAAAGACUAAUCGAACC
rnacentral:rRNA from 1 species